GAUGCAACAGUUGAAAAUUUUAAUUUAAAAUACGAAGGAAAAUGUUUACCUUCUCUUUCUUCUUGUUAAGUCAUUAAACUAAAAACUAAUAAUGUGCAGGACAAGAUAGGUGUGUUUGUGUAGUGCACCACACCUUUGGUCUUCUUUUCUACAAGGAGUAUUUUACCCUUUUCAGUUGUAGCUAGGCAGAAAAUCUACAAUAUAAAAGCAGUUAUUAAUAAUUUCUAUUCAUUACUGUCUUUUAGAAACCCUGAAAGUAUUUCAGAUGUAAUAUAAGGAAUUGUAUUCAAGGAUCUUUUUAAAGUCUAAUGUGAAGGUAAAAAUAAUAUGUAAGGUAAAGCUUUCAUUUUUAAGAAUAGGUUUUCCCCAGCAAAACUUUUUUCCCCAAAUUGGGAAGCAAUAUACAUAUAUAUGGUAGCUAGAAUUAAAUGCCUGCUUUUAUAUUAAGUAAAAUUAAGUAAUUUUGCCUUGGUGCUUUGAAAAAUCAUUCAUCAAUCUCUUAAACUUUUUUCCUUUAUUUCAUUUCAACUAUUUUAUGAAAAACUGUAACAAAUAUAAUUUUUGAUUCCACUGAAAGUAUUCCAGGAUUUAACAUCUAGAUUCUUAGAAAUAUUUAUUAAAUGAAUUACAAAGUUUGUCCACUAUUUUCCAGAAUAACUCAGGAAUUAGAUACCUUUUUUCUGUUUUUCUAAAUGUAUUAUGUUUAGUCUAAUCUGCCUUCUAAAUGAGAGAAAAACUGGAUUUUACAUGUAUUAGGUGAAUCUUUAUAUCUAGGUCCUCCAAAUGUGAAGAAGGAACACUUGGGGCUAUUACUUGCUAAAUGAAAAUUUUUCUUGUUUUAAUCCUGAGAAUGAAUUAAAGAAAAAUUAAAAUAUUGGUUAAGUGAGAAACCAUAGAAAAACUGUUAUAAUGAAGUUUAUCAUAACAGGAUUCAGUUUCUUUCCAGUCUCUUACUUAAGAGGAAAUAGCCUGUUGAUGAUACCGAAUGAAACACACACAUUUAGGUGGAUAUUUUACUAUCCCUUAUUCAUCAAAAAAGUUUUAUUCUCAGUAUUGUGUCUCAUUAACAAAAAGGAGAAAAAUUAAUGUUCCAAACUUUUGAGAUAGAUUUGGCUCUAGCAUGUAUUUUGAUACCACUACUGCCUCUCCUCCAAAAGGUGAGAACUGACUAUUCCAUCUGUACAUGGGUCAUGUGGAGAAAGAACUGAGACUGGAAGCAAAAAACAGGCUUUGCACAUGUAGAGCAGAGUGCCUGACAACGGUUCACUCUAGUAAAGUGCAAUAAAUGCCACACAAGAUGAUCCUCUCAUCACAAAACUUUACAUCUGACUUAUAUGCCUGGUCUGAUAACUUCUAUCUUUUUAUGACUCCUAAAUUGUGAAGGCGAUAUCAAGGCACUGGCACUGAGGCCGGGCAUAAUCUGUAGCGGAGGAGUGUUUCAGGAGCACCAACACUGCCUGGGCCCAGCGGAUGCCCACCGCACGCCGCCCCACCCCACUCCCCGUUGGUUCCAGUGUCCCGCUGGUGUCCGCUGGGCAGCUGGGAUCGGAGCUUAAACCAGCUCUCUGCAGCCCCCACCCACGCAGGUCGCUGUCCGACCAGGGGAAGUCCCCACCCUUGCAACAGGCCCAAGGACCGCCCCCCUCCUAGAGAGUGGCCCGGAACAAAAAAAAAAGCCCAACCCUUCACACCACUUCAUCUGCAUCUCUCAAGACCAGAAGCCCGGCCACAGUGGCUUGGGGGACGGAGACAACUGUCUGCAUUGCACCCCACGACUCGGGUUGGGUGGGACGGUCACUCUUGUUGGGACCAACACCACGGCUCUAGCCACACUCCAGCCGGAGCACAACUAAAUGCCACAACUAAAUGCCACAAUCAAAAUAAGAAUUUAUUCUUGAUGAAGAGUAACUUUAUGAGAGCCUUGAGAAUUAUUCAUGCAGGGAAGUAAGAAUUCUCUCUUUCAAAGACUAUUGAUGCAUUCCAACCUUCUAGAAAUUAGCUGUUGAGACCAGCUGAAAUGCCCCUUUGUUCCCUGCUGAAACCAGAUCUCUUCCGUCUCAGGUGAGGACCUGCAUCUCUACCCGAGGCCCUCCUGCAGAGGAAGAGGCUGUGCCUGAAAGUUAGAGGAAGUCUUCAGGCCUGCAGCUCGAAGCUGCUCACCAGGCCUGUCGGAGCAGAUGGUACUUUAAUUCUCAUUUGCUAGUGUUCCCUACACGUCUGCAGCCCUCGGGGGGUGUUGGCUGUGGCUUGGGUAAGACUGUUAUCUUUGGAUCAUGUCAACAUAAUGCCUUAAGACCGAAAGCUCCUUACCUAUUUUUAACAUGCAGCAUUUAUAUAUGGCAUUAUUUUGGCACUAUUUCUACUUAGAAAGUUAAAGUAAUCACUUCUGCAUCUUUUCACAGUCUUCAAAAUGAUACUUUUUGAUAACUACAUAAUUCCAUUAAUACACUAAAUGUAAGGUGUAUGUAAAGAAAAAAGAACCAUGAGCGGCAAACACUGGGAAAUGUGGCAUAAAUACGGGGAAAGAAUAAGAAUUUCAAGAACGGAGGACAGUCUUGAAUAUUAAUAAGAGAAGUACAGUGAACCAUUGAAUCUUCCAAUUCUUCCAAGUAGGUCACUAAUGAGGAAGAGAAGGUUAAUCUCUGUCCUGGGGGCAGAAGUAGGUAAAGGCAAUGAAGGAAUUAAGAUCAUGUGUUUGCUGAGUGCCAGGACCAUGGUAGAUGCUUUCCUUGCACAACCGCAUGUAUAAGUCACAGUGGAGAAACCAAGGCUUGGAGUCGGUCAUUAACCCGCCCAGGGUUGCCCAGGGCAGUCUUCAUUCUACUGCAGUCAGGAGUGAAUGAGAAUGAAGGCAGUGGAGACAGGAAGUGUGAAUAAUUCUUUCUGGAAUCAUAAUGGGGAAAGAAGAGAAAGCAACAGCGAGAUAGAGUAUGAGGACUCUGUUUUUAUAGUAAAAACAAAGUUCCAAGGUCAACACUGAAAAAGAGCCCUCACGUGACUGCGUGACUGCGUGACUGCAAGGCCGGAAGCAGAGACCACCGAGCCCUAAACCCUGUCCUGAGAUUCAUCUUUCUUCUGGGAAUCUUGGCCUCGUUAUCUUUGCUCCAGCAAAGCCCUUUCAGAUCCUUUCUUCCUUUCCUGUCUGAUACCCGAGCAGGAGAUAACAAAAGGCUUUUCUUCUUAUUGAAGAAUAGUUGACACGAUGUUACAUCUAAAAGGCAUUUCUUUACAUCCCAUGGCAAAACCAAAUCAAAGCUAGAAAGUUUAAAUGACUUUCCUCAGGGAAAGGGUAAUGAAUGUUUCCUAAUCUUGCCUGGUCAUAGAAACCGCCCAGGAUGCUAGUUUAAACAGAACAUCAAGAGAUUUGGAUUCAGAAGGUCUCUAGUGGCGGCCUGGAAAUGGGUGUUUUAAAGUACUGCCAGAUUAUCCUUAAAUUCCUGCAAAUUUGGGUAUCACUGCACCGGCAAGUAACAGAGAAAUAAACAUAGUCACAUAAAUCCGUGUGGUGUGGCUCCCAAGAAAAGGCCUGUGUAUAACCAUGUUGAGGUCCUCACCCCAACCUCACGGGUUUGAGGCUAUCUUGGCACCUGAUGACUAUUAUAACUCUGAUGGGGAUCCAACAGAGGGAAGCCCUUGGUCAAAUUUUAAGGUGGCAAGGGAGGAGGGAGAGAGGGCUUCUUCCAUUCUGAACCCUUUCAAAAGACUGGGUCAUUCCUACUAGCUUGCUUCCCAAUACAGGCAAGGCCUGACUUUACCCGCCCUCCCCUGUCAUCGCUCUAGCAGGAGGUGUGACGGCAGCCAGCGUUCUCCCAGCGGCUCCUCAGUCUCCCCACGAGUUAGUCCUCGGGAGGGUGCCCAGACAUCCAGGUUCGCCUGGGGUUAGUCCUGACCUCCUACUCCUAAGAGCCCAGAGUCCUCUCUGGUUUGCUCUACUCUUUCAUUUUCGGAAGGGUCCCAGUUUGGAUGAUAAAUUAUAUAGUCAUGCUGUCUAUGAAUAAGGAGCUAGAACAAAAACAUGAGUGCACAAAAGCAAGUAGUAGUCUGCCGGCAGUUUACAUAAUGACUUCCAUUUAUCAAGCAAAUCACUCUGUGACACCACACACAUCACUUCAAUUAACCCUCACAGCAACCCCGUGAGGGACAUGGAUUUUGCAAAUGAGGGAUGUAACAGGGUUAAGUGCUUUGACCAGAGCCAUCCAACUAUGAGGAGCAGAACUGGAUUCACACAUCCAUCUGCGUGACCCCAACUUCCGCCCUGAAAGGGGCCUGGCUGCCUCUUCAGGGCAUGUGGACACUCCACACCCGUGUCUGGCUGUGUGAAGAAACAACUUUACCGAGAGAGUCGGUUGGUUUCAACACUAUAGGAAAACUCAAUAUUCACAUUUCCACCUUGCAUUUGAAAGUAGAAAUCCGUCUCUGCAGCUGUUUGUAGAAUUCAGCUCUUGCUUGUUUCUAUAACCUGAUUUGAAAGAACACUUCCAAAAGAGGCAACCAAGUCUACAAAAGCACAGUUGGACUCAAAUGGAUCCAACCAGUUCGAAAAUGGAAAAUAACACUGAGGAAUGUGUUCUGCAUCACAAGCAUUGGUGUCCUGAGUCAUUCCUAAGGGCAUUGAGUACUUAAAUGUAACCCAGAGAAUGGAUUAAACUCCUGGCUUUAUGUUUGCAUGGCUUCAUCUUUAAACUCA